rnacentral:tRNA from 1 species
AAAAAUUUAGUUAAAAUUAUAACAUUAGUUUGUCAAACUAAAAUUAUUUAUUAAAUAAUUUUUA